AGACCCGAAACCCGGUGAUCUAGCCAUGGGCAGGUUGAAGGUUGGGUAACACUAACUGGAGGACCGAACCGACUAAUGUUGAAAAAUUAGCGGAUGACCUGUGGCUGGGGGUGAAAGGCCAAUCAAACCGGGAGAUAGCUGGUUCUCCCCGAAAGCUAUUUAGGUAGCGCCUCGUGAAUUCAUCUCCGGGGGUAGAGCACUGUUUCGGCUAGGGGGCCAUCCCGGCUUACCAACCCGAUGCAAACUGCGAAUACCGGAGAAUGUUAUCACGGGAGACACACGGCGGGUGCUAACGUCCGUCGUGAAGAGGGAAACAACCCAGACCGCCAGCUAAGGUCCCAAAGUCAUGGUUAAGUGGGAAACGAUGUGGGAAGGCCCAGACAGCCAGGAUGUUGGCUUAGAAGCAGCCAUCAUUUAAAGAAAGCGUAAUAGCUCACUGGUCGAGUCGGCCUGCGCGGAAGAUGUAACGGGGCUAAACCAUGCACCGAAGCUGCGGCAGCGAACGUAUCACCCAAGACAACUUUACGGAGUUGACGAUUGACGGAGCGAAGCGACGUCAAAGCGUUCAUUAAAGUCGAGUUGGCUUAGGGAUACGUUCGUUGGGUAGGGGAGCGUUCUGUAAGCCUGUGAAGGUGUGUCGUGAGGCAUGCUGGAGGUAUCAGAAGUGCGAAUGCUGACAUAAGUAACGAUAAAGCGGGUG
rnacentral:rRNA from 1 species